rnacentral:rRNA from 1 species
AUUGAACGCUGGCGGCAUGCCUAACACAUGCAAGUCGAACGAGUGGCGGACGGGUGAGUAAUGUCUGUGAACCUGCCUUAUGGCUGGGGUUAACUACUGGAAACGGUAGCUAAUACCGCAUACCAUCCGAUUUGCCCAGGUGGGAUUAGCUAGUAGGUGGGGUAAAGGCUCACCUAGGCGACGAUCCCUAGCUGGUCUGAGAGGAUGACCGGCCACACGGGAACUGAGACACGGUCCAGACUCCUACGGGAGGCAGCAGUGGGGAAUAUUGCACAAUGGGCGAAAGCCUGAUGGAGCCAUGCCGCGUGAGUGAAGAAGGCAUUCGGGUUGUAAAGUACUUUCAUGAGGGAAGCGGUACCUAAUAAGAAAGCACCGGCUAACUACGGGCCAGCAGCCGCGGUAAUAC